GCAUCCAUAGCUCAGCUGGAUAGAGCGACGGACUUCGAAUCCGUAGGUCGCAGGUUCGAAUCCUGCUGGAUGUA
rnacentral:tRNA from 1 species